rnacentral:rRNA from 1 species
UACGUAGGGUGCAAGCGUUGCCCGGAUUUAUUUGGGACGGUAAAGGGCGCGUAGGCGGUCACGCACGUCCGUUGUGAAAUCGCUCGGCUCAACUGGGCGGGGUCAGCGGAUACGGUGUGGCUGGAGCAAGCUAGGGGGCAAUGGAAUUCCGGUGUAGUGGUGGAAUGCGUAGAUAUCGGAAGGAACACCAGUGGCGAAAGCGGCUUCCUGGUCCAGCACCGACGUU